AAACCACGUCAGUUCUUGGAAAGCUUGAAAUCCCUCGGUUGGGCAACUCAGCUGUUAGAGACGGCGCAGAUUUCCCCACUGGGUGUGGGUUUGAGCUCGUGACCUCGAGCAUCCGUCUGUCCUUUGUACAAAGCGGCCACUCCAGGGAGGAGAUGGGCAAGUGACGGUCCGGGGUUCAUGGCUGUGUGUGGUCUUGGAGCUCCCUUCUGCACUUUCCAGCUGUCCGUGUCCCCAUGCAGAUGAGAACCCUUUCCUCAAUGACACCUCAUAACCAGACAAAGCCAGAGACAUUCAAUACCAUGGCCAAGGUCACAUGGUGAAAAUAUGGUGCACGUGAGACGCAGAACAAGAACCCAACAGGUGCUCAUCGCCAUCAUGGCAGGAAACAGCAAGACAACUUGACGAGGAUUUCCUGCCACUCGCCCACUGGAACUGGAAUGGAGUGUUAAUGACACAGGAGUGCGUGAAUUUACAUGUAAUAUACACACAUACAAAUUUACCUGUAGACAGAGCAAUAUUUGAUUAUAUGAAAUGUCUACAAACAGCACAUUCUAAAAGCAGCUUUAGGAUUAUGGGUGCUUUUUUUCCUCUUAAAUGUGUUAACUUUUUUUUUUUUAAGACGGAGUCUCGCUCUGUUGCCCAGGCUGGAGUGCAGUGGCGCGAUCUCGGCUCACUGCAAGCUCCGCCUCCCGGGUUCACGCCAUUUUUCUGCCUCAGCCUCCCGAGUUAAAUGUGUUUAAAUGUGUUAAUUUUUUUCUCCACUGAACAUAAAUAAUUUGUAUAAAUUGAAAAGAAAACAAUGUUAUCUUUUGAAAAAAAGACAUAAUAAUAAAAUGAUUCCCCACUUAGUGCCU